AACCAUACUGCUUGACCCAUCGUGGGCUUUUGGCGGCCGAUUUUGGGCUGCCGGAGGCUGAAGGCUCCCUGCAAAGGUUGAGGACGAUGGGGCGCCGACGCGACUCGACCCGUCUUGAAACACGGACCAAGGAGUCUAGCGUGCCUGCGAGUCGUAGGGUCUCGAAACCUGAGGGCGCAGUGAAAGCGAUAUUUUCUAGCAAAACGUUGCAGUUUGAGGCGGCAUACGAUCGUUGAUUGUAAGUCCGACCUGGAGCAGGUAUGCUAGGACCCGAAAGAUGGUGAACUAUGCUUGAGUAGGGCGAAGCCAGAGGAAACUCUGGUGGAGGCUCGUAGCGGUGCUGACGUGCAAAUCGCUCGUCGAACUUGAGUAUAGGGGCGAAAGACUAAUCGAACCAUCUAGUAGCUGGUUUCCUCCGAAGUUUCUCUCAGGAUAGCAGGCCGAAUGUUUACGUUGUUGUGUGCGGUAAAGCGAAUGAUUAGCGUAUUUGGGAGCAUUUUGUUUUCAGACGAUUCUCAAACUUUAAAUGCGCACGGAUGUUGCUGCUUUAUUGAGCGGCAUCGUCAAAAACUUCGGCUUUGUGGGCCAAUUUUGGUAAGCAGAACUGGCGAUACGGGAUGAACCGUAAGCGUGGUUAAGGCGCCAAAUUAUCCGCUUAUAGACCCCAAAAAAGGUGUUGAUUCAUCGAGACAGCAGGACGGUGGCCAUGGAAGUCGGGAUCCGCUAAGGAGUGUGUAACAACUCACCUGCCGAAUGAAUUAGCCCUGAAAAUGGAUGGCGCUGAAGCGGGUAGCCGACACCACGCCGUCUGGAAAAGUGACUCUUUCAGAUGAGUAGGAGGACGUGGCGGUUGUAUCGAAGCGUGCGUGCAAACGUGCGUGGAACGGCCGCUAGUGCAGAUCUUGGUGUUAGUAGCAAAUAUUCAAACGAGAACCUUGAAGGGCGAAGCGGGGAAGGGUUCCACGCGAACAUUGAUUGGGCGUGGGUAAGUCGUUCCUAAGCCGCGUGGCAAUAGCUAAUUAUCGGCGAAAGGGAAGCAGGUUGAUAUUCCUGCACACGGAUGUGGAUGCGGUGACGCACAACUGAGGCGAUUAAGCUGGCGAUGGCGCUGGGCAGAGUUUUCUUUUCUGUUUAACCAUGCUUUGAGCGCUGUGUGGAAUCCGCUUGUCGGGAGAAACACGCGUGACUGGGCAGAGCGCCGGGGUUUUUCCGGCGUCCAGCUCGCCAUCGACGGACCUUGAAACAUUGCCUGCUGGCUUUCUGUCUUUUUUGUAUUAAAAAGGCCGUUGGUGUAAAAAUUCCACGCCGUAACGUACCGAUAA
rnacentral:rRNA from 1 species